AAUGAGACUUUUAGAUUGAAAGAGG
rnacentral:piRNA from 1 species